UGUAGAUUACACUAAGAAGGCACUGAGAGUCAAAGUCCAAAAACUUCCUCAGCUGCUCUUCUCACCCCCUAACAUUUUGCAUGUAAUAUGAUUGGGAAGUUGGAUGCUGUCUUUGUGCUUUAGCUGAGAAACCACAUUAAUUUUCCCAAGGCCCGUAUUUUCAGAGCCCUGCUACAGUUUUAUUUCCUUUUUUUUUUCCAGGGUACUAUUUAUGAUUCUCCUUUUAAUGGAGAAAAUGCAAGAGUAAAGAGGUGACUUUUCGAGUACAGAAGUAAUAUGGAAUCGCUCCUCCAAAGGUUAAGGUUUUUGGGCCAACUCCAUAUGGAGGCCAUGGAGGAAGAUGGGAGAGCCCCAAAGCCGCGUAACCAAGAGAUGAGUAGGAAAGUCAGCAGAGAAAUGACACAGUGUCAAACUGCUCCUCUGCCUGAUACAAAUAAGUAAUUGGAACUUAAUAGAGGUUCAUAGGAACAUGAACUAACUCUAAGGACUAGAAUAUGCUCUUUUCAAAAUUUGAACCUGGAAGUGGAUUCACUGUAUGAGUGAAUUUUUUAAUCUGACCAAUAGAUUUCUGUAAAAUGCUCUGAGAUGGCUGGAACAGCAAUUUUAGCACAGAUUUUUUUCCAGGUUAAUUUCUUUCUUUGGUUUGGUAUGGGUUGUGUUGGGUUUGAUUUUGCUUUGUUUUGUUUGUCUGCUUUUAAAGAAAGUCUUUAGCUUAUUUAAAACCUAAGUAAUAUCUCUUUGCUUGACUUUUGUUUUUGUUGCUUUUAGGUUUAUAGCAUUAGACCAAGUGAUCAGAUUAUUUCUCACAGCUCUGUACCUCUUGAUACAGUGUUUAGCUAUUAAAAAUAUUGGAAAGAAGAUACAUGUGGUAUUGUGAGCUAUUGAUUUGUUUCUAAUUUAUCAUAGUGGCCUCCAGUGGUUUAAUUUCCUUAAUAGCCUAUUUUUAGGGCUGCUGUUAAGGUCGGAAAGGGUGUUUUAUAUCUUUCCUGAGUUUCUCUGUCCCUAACUUCUGCCUACAUUUCAACACCUGACAAAGUAUUUUAAUCUUUGGACUUGGGCUUUCUGUAUUUGGGAGUAUUUAGUUGGUCUGUAGCCCUUUUUACUUCAUCUCUUGUGCUUCAAAUAAUUUAGCACCAUAUCAGCUAUGUUGUUAUCCAGUAAACAUGUACUGUGGAGAGAUGAGAUGCCGAAAAUAAUGUAAAAAUUAAAUAUUCAUUGACUUGAAGGUUAAUUCGAGAGGAGUGCAUGGGUGUAGGAGGAGUAUGGUUUCAAGCUCUAUAGUAAGUAGGUUUUCAAAUUAUAUAAGUGACAGCCUGAUUUCAGAGCUAUCAUUUCAUCUGACCAAGAAUGGAAAUGGAAAUGAAUAUGAAAAGAAAAAGAGAGUUCUUGUGAAGAUACUGUCUCAUUUAUGCUAAUAGAGAAAAUCUGUACAACCCAUGGAGCAAAUCCACAGCAAUGGAGUUAAUCCAUAUUAACAUGUUAUAACUGGGAUCAGGGUGAGGGUUCUACUGAUUUGGCCCCUAGCACCUGGAUUUGGUAUUUCUAAAUACCUGGGAUGAAAUGUUGAAUUUUUUGGUUGUUUAGCUUCCAUGGUAAAGCUGAGAGUGCUGGCAGUAAGAAAGCAUCCAAAAAUUACCCAUAUUGCCUCCCAUUUGGAAUUUGCUCUGUUGAGUAGAAAGGUGCUUCUGUGGGAAAUGUAGAACAAUAUUUUGAACAUGAAUUAAAAAUGAAAAACUUUUGAGAGUUUUGCAAUACAUGGAGACUCCAGGCACGGGAGUGGGAGUGAAAAACAAAAAGAAAUAAUCAAGACACAAUACCCUGUCUUGGCAGAUGGAUAAAAGGAGUGGCCUGCAAGGCAAAAAAAAAAAAUCUGAAAGCCCAGAGAUCUGAAAGGACUAAGUAAAUCUUUAAAUUUUUGUCUCAGUUCUGCUGGAGACACUAGCAGCUUAGAAAUUAGGAUAGAGUUAGCAGCUUUCCCAGCCUGUUCCUGGGGGCAAUUCAUACUUGUUUUUAAUUACAUCACUGCUGUUGGUCCAAAGAAUUUGGAAUUUUUCUCAUUCCUCUGCACUAGCUUUUAGUGUAUUUAUAAAAUGUGGGCAGAAAGAAGAUUAAAA
rnacentral:lncRNA from 1 species